rnacentral:rRNA from 1 species
AUUCUCGCGCAAUGGGCGAAAGCCUGACGCAGCAACGCCGCGUGAACGAUGAAGGCCUUCGGGUCGUAAAGUUCUGUCAGGGGGGACGAAUACUGACGGUACCCCUGGAGGAAGCUCCGGCUAACUACGUGCCAGCAGCCGCGGUACUACGUAGGGAGCGAGCGUUGUCCGGAAUUACUGGGCGUAAAGGGCGUGUAGGUGGCCGAUCAAGUCAAGUGUGAAAUUUCAGGGCUCAACCCUGAGCGUGCACUUGAAACUGGUUGGCUUGAGUGCAGAAGAGGGAAGUGGAAUUCCCAGUGUAGCGGUGAAAUGCGUAGAUAUUGGGAGGAACACCAGUGGCGAAGGCGACUUUCUGGUCUGUAACUGACGCUGAGGCACGAAAGCUAGGGGAGCGAACA